CCUACGGGAGGCAGCAGUGGGGAAUAUUGGACAAUGGGCGAAAGCCUGAUCCAGCAAUGCCGCGUGAGUGAUGAAGGCCUUAGGGUUGUAAAGCUCUUUUACCAGGGAUGAUAAUGACAGUACCUGGAGAAUAAGCUCCGGCUAACUCCGUGCCAGCAGCCGCGGUAAUACGGAGGGAGCUAGCGUUGUUCGGAAUUACUGGGCGUAAAGCGUGCGUAGGCGGUGAUUCAAGUCAGAGGUGAAAGCCUGGAGCUCAACUCCAGAACGGCCUUUGAAACUAGAUCGCUAGAAUUAUGGAGAGGUAAGUGGAAUUCCGAGUGUAGAGGUGAAAUUCGUAGAUAUUCGGAAGAACACCAGUGGCGAAGGCGACUUACUGGACAUAUAUUGACGCUGAGGUACGAAAGCGUGGGGAGCAAACAGGAUUAGAUACCCUGGUAGUCCACGCCGUAAACGAUGAUAACUAGCUGUUCGGGCUCUCAGAGCUUGAGUGGCGCAGCUACGACAUUAAGUACUAUCCGCCGUCGGGGUAGGGUACGGGUCGGCGAAGAAGUUAAAACGUUAACGAAAGGAAAGUUAGACGGCGUGAGACGUGCCGACGGACGACGACGAGGGAGGUUAGG
rnacentral:rRNA from 1 species